CAGCUAUGAUGAUUUCCACUUCAGGUCCGUGUUUCUGAGCCCUGAUCAUAAAGGAAGUUCUGAGUUA